GCCAGGCAUCAUGGCACAUGCCUGUAAUCCCAAAGGUUUGGGAGGCUGAGGCAGGAGGAUCGUGAGUUCAAAGCAGCCUCAGCAAAAGUGAGGCACUAAGCAACUCAGUGAGACCCUGUCUCUA
rnacentral:sRNA from 1 species